rnacentral:rRNA from 1 species
UACGAACUGUGCAAGCGUUAUUCGGAAUCACUGGGCUUAAAGGGUGCGUAGGCGGUCUUGUAAGUAGGGUGUGAAAGCCCCCGGCUCAACCGGGGAACUGCGUCCUAAACUGCGAGGCUUGAGUGAGGUAGGGGUGUGUGGAGCUUCCAGUGGAGCGGUGAAAUGUGUUGAUAUUGGAAGGAACGCCGGUGGCGAAAGCGACACACUGGACCUUGUCUGACGCUGAGGCACGAAAGCCAGGGGAGCAAACGGG